rnacentral:lncRNA from 10 species
AGAGAAAAGAAGAAGUAACUGAGGAAAAGCUGCCAGCCAUGAAGAAAACAGCUGAUGAAAGGGGCUAAAGCUAGCUUCAUUUCUUGCAGGUCUAGUUCUGAGUCUAGGGACAGAAGUUUUAGCUUUGGCUGGACACCCAUAGCCCUCUGUGACCUGUCAGUAUUUUUAACUUCACGAUGACUCCUAAGUGGACUGCUGUCCACUGGCCACAACUUACUGAAACUUUCUCCAUAUUCAGCAUUUAUUAAGGACUGGAGGUUCCAAGAUGUAGACAAGACCCCAGGAGCUGCAGCAGUCAUCUGCUCACACUGAAGUUCGUAGAACUAAAAGACGGAAGGAGCCUGGGAUGCUGAUGAAAUUGUGAAGCUACUGACACAAGCCCUGGACUGCCUAUCUCUGGACUCUACUGGAUGGGUCCACAUGGCAAGGAACCAAGGGUAGCCUCUGGCCAGCAACCAGAGAAGAUAAAGAUCUCCAACAACGUCUGCGUUUGGAAGAGGAUUGUUCUUCCGUAGAGUUUUCUGAUGAGGCCCCAGCCUUGGCAACAUCUUGACUGUCUCCUUGUAAAGGGACCUUGAGACAGAGGACUCAGCUCAGCCGUGCCAGACUCCUGACUCACAGAAACAGUGAGAUUAUAAAAACAAACUGUUUUAAGCCACUAAGUUUUGAGUAAUUUGUCACACAGUAGAUAAUAAACUUCCAUAGAAUCUUGAUAUUGAUCAUA